rnacentral:rRNA from 1 species
CAAUGGGAUGCGAAUCUCGAAAGCCUGUCUCAGUUCGGAUUGGAGGCUGAAACCCGCCUCCAUGAAGUUGGAUUCGCUAGUAAUCGCGCAUCAGCCAUGGCGCGGUGAAUACGUUCCCGGGCCUUGUACACACCGCCCGUCAAGCCAUGGGAGCCGGGGGUGCCUGAAGUUCGUGACCGCAAGGAGCGACCUAGGGCAAAACUGGUGACUGGGGCUAAGUCGUAACAAGGUAGC